GAGAUUGAAAAUUAAUUAUUAUUUGAGAAAGUAAUUAUUCCAAGAGGUUAAAUAGAUAUUAUAAUAUUUCAAUAAUAAUUUCACGUUUAAAUUAUAAACAUUUAUAACUUAUCAAGUGGGACAACUCGUAUUUUUUGCAAGAGGAAUACGAAUUAUCAUUUUUCAUCGACCAACUCAAUCCUAUUGGAUCAUUAGAGAACUGAAGGAUUUUAUGUCGAGAGACAAAACGAAGAACGUAUAAGCAUCCUGAGAGGAUGGAAAGAAAUCGAAAGAAAGUAGAUAUACGAGGAACCGUGGUUAGACGAGGUGGAAUAAUAACAGGCUGGGAUAUAUCAAUGGGAUUCAAUAUCGAAAUGAUCCGAUGCCCGUGUGUAAGCAUGCGUGCACGCAUCGGGGGAUCUUCGCGUACAUAACUUACAUAUAUGUAACGGCUAUAAAGAUAGCGUGUAUCAGAUAGUACAGUCUCGUGAAAGGGAAGUUGAAACGGUCCUCUUCGUUGGCAAACGGCCAACUGUUUUUCACUUGAUUCUUUUUUUUUUUUAUAAUUCAUCUUUAAUAUUGAAUAUUUAAUAAUUAUCAAGUUAAUCAUAAUUCAUAAAUAAUGAUGUUAACAUUGUCACGCUAGCAGUGACCUUACAGUGCAAAGGAUUCAAUUUAAUUAAUAAGAGAAAUAAAAUUUUUGUAUGUUCGAGUAUCAGAUUAUUCAUAAGCGUCAUUCAUAAAUAAUGAAGCUGUCUUGUCACGCACAAUGAAGAACCAGACGAAGUACAUAUCAAGCGAAAUUGAACGUGAAGAAAAGUUAGAAG